rnacentral:snRNA from 1 species
AUCGCUUCUCGGCCUUUUGGCUAAGAUCAAGUGUAGUAUCUGUUCUUAUCAGUUUAACUUAAGGGAAUAAACUAGGAAACUCUUGCCUUCCUCUUAAUGAGGAUGCUUUUCCUUUCUAACAGUAAAAUCCAGAAAAACUACU